GACGAACGCUGGCGGCGUGCUUAACACAUGCAAGUCGAACGGAAAGGCCCUGCUUGUGUGGUGUUCUCGAGUGGCGAACGGGUGAGUAACACGUGAGUAACCUGCCCUUGACUUUGGGAUAACUUCAGGAAACGGGGGCUAAUACCGUAUAGGAGCUCCUGCUGCAUGGUGGGGGUUGGAAAGUUGCGGUGGUUGGGGAUGGACUCGCGGCUUACCAGCUUGUUGGUGGGGUAGUGGCUUACCAAGGCUUUGACGGGUAGCCGGCCUGGGAGGGUGACCGGGCACAUUGGGACUGAGAUACGGCCCAGACUCCUACGGGGGGCAGCAGUGGGGAAUAUUGCCCAAUGGGCGGAAGCCUGAUGCAGCAGCGCCGCGUGCGGGAUGACGGCCUUCGGGUUGUAAACCGCUUUAGCCUGUGACGAAGCGUGAGUGACGGUAAUGGGUAAAGAAGCACCGGCUAACUACGUG
rnacentral:rRNA from 1 species